AUCCAGACUCCUACGGGAGGCAGCAGUGGGGAAUAUUGCACAAUGGGGGAAACCCUGAUGCAGCGACGCCGCGUGAGCGAUGAAGUAUUUCGGUAUGUAAAGCUCUAUCAGCAGGGAAGAAAAUGACGGUACCUGAAGAAGAAGCCCCGGCUAACUACGUGCCAGCAGCCGCGGUAAUACGUAGGGGGCAAGCGUUAUCCGGAUUUACUGGGUGUAAAGGGAGCGUAGACGGCGAUGCAAGCCAGAUGUGAAAGCCCGGGGCUCAACCCCGGGACUGCAUUUGGAACUGUGUGGCUGGAGUGUCGGAGAGGCAGGCGGAAUUCCUAGUGUAGCGGUGAAAUGCGUAGAUAUUAGGAGGAACACCAGUGGCGAAGGCGGCCUGCUGGACGAUGACUGACGUUGAGGCUCGAAAGCGUGGGGAGCAAACAGGAUUAGAUACCCGGGUAU
rnacentral:rRNA from 1 species